AAAAUAAAAAGAAACCCAAAGAAACAAAUGUAUGAUCUAAUUAAAAAAACUGAUAGAAACCACUCUAUAUUUCAAAAAGCACUCCUAAAGGAUACUCUGACAUUGCAAUUAAUAGUAAAAGAUGUUGACUCAACUAUGCUGAAUGAGUAAAGAAAACUGUAAAUGAGAAAACAAAGGAAAUCAGGAAAAUGAUGAAUGAACAAAACGAGAAUCUCAGUAAACAAAGUACAGAAAGGAAACAAAUCCUGGAGCUGAAAAGUGCAAAAACUGAAGUGGAAAGUUCACUAGAGAUAUUCAAAAGCAAGGCCAUUGAAAUUACCCCAUCUGAAAGAAGAAAAUGAACAGGUUGAGGAGCCUGUGGGACACCAUCAUGCAUACCAACAAAUGCACCACAGACAUUCCAAAAGGGAGAGAAAGACGGAAGAACAGAGCAAGGCUGCAAGUCCACUUGCUCCAUGACUCAGGAUUCAAGUAGUGGGAGCACUGCUUUCUCAGUGAGGUAAGUGAAAGAGGGAAUUCACCAAAAUUCAAUAUCGGACCAUCAGAAGCUCUUAGAGACUCAGAAAUUUGGGUGCAUUAAACAAUCAAGAAAGUACACUGGAGCUGAGCCAGUUGUCACACUGGCACUUGUUCACUGCAGUGGGGAAGGGUAACAUAAAGUACAAAUUUGUUGUGGAAAACCUGUAGAACAGAGAAGCAACCUGAAGUCCACUGAUCCAGAGGUUGCACUGUGAACUGGUAUUUGAAGAGUGUUCUUUGUUUCUCAACUGGCAAGGGGACAGCUGAGGUCCAUCAUCUGGAGAAGACUAUACGGAUGCUUGGUGCUGGGGGAUCCCAGCAGACCACAAAACAUUGCCAUACUGUCCCAGAAAGCAUCUACUGUGCAGCCUAGUGUGUACCUAGAAGAACAUGAUUGAAACAGAGAAGACUGUACCCAGGAGGGUUCAAAUCAGAGUCAAGAAGAGUGCAACUUACUUUCCCUUAGUGUCUGGUGUCACAUGACCAGCUGCAGAGGGUCAGGAACCAGGUGUGAACAACUCAUGGACUAAGCCUGUAAAGGCUGUAUUCAUGGCCAGCAGAGAGAGACCUGUGGAGGGCUGGCCCCCCUGCUCCGUGUACAAUUCUUAGGAGGAUACUGAGAUCCAGACUCCCAGUGGAGAUGGGCAUCCACCUGGCCCUGGGGCAUGUUGAUCUAAUCUUUCUAAAGCAGAUACCACACAAUGAAGUCCCAAAGGCCCGAUUAGAGUCAAGCUCCAGCUACCAAACUCCCCACUUAGCACUGUGCAUCAGCCCCACCAAGGAAUGCACUGAUCAGGUCUAAACAGAACUGCACUCAACAGUACUUCUCAUCUGUUCUCACUUCACUGAGGAGAGGGGAAGUUGAAAGUUAUUUUGACCAGCUUCAGUUUUAGGCCACUCCAGCUAGUGGCUCAGCGAGAAGGAGGGGGAUGGAGAAGAGGACCUAGGAGGCAGAGGAGGAGGAGGAAAGAGAAGAAGGCAGAGGAGCAGGAGGACACCGAGGAAUGUAACAGCCCCAGCCCUGCUCUUAGGAAUACACAGUCCAAGAAGAAGUUAAAAGUCAGUCAGGAUAGGUAGGGAUCAUUUGUCCUCAUCCUCAGUUUUUCUUCCUCAAUGUGCCUUUAAUUAGUUUAUUUUUAUGCAGUGCCAAGAAUUGAACCCAGUGGAGAUAGAAAUGUGCUAGGGGACUGCUGUACCACUGAGCCACAGCCCCAGUGCUCAACAGUGUUGGCCACCUCAGUGGAGACAAGUUUUUCAUUUUUCAUUAAAAGCGUGUUCUUGCUGUGCUGAUUGGUCUGUGGGUGUAUAUAUACAUAUUUCUUUUCUCCCUCAUUUUUAGCAUUUUUUAAUGGAAAUUUUUGUUUUGUCUUUUAAGGGUUAGGGUUUUCGUGUUCAUUUAUUUUGCUAGUUUUUCUUGUUUUCUUCCUCUAAUAGUCAGAUUCACUUGUUCUCUUUUCCUUAGUUACUUUUCUUCUUUAUAGCCAUCACUUGCUACAUCUCUUCUGCCUCCAUUGUUCACAUCUUUGCAGACUCCAAGCUUGCUUUUACCAUCCCAUCACAUUUUCUUUUCUUUUAGUAAACCCUUUGGUUUAUAUAACUACUUGCCCCACCAUUCAUGUUGUUGCAGCUGUUGGUACCAUGGUGGCACAAUUGACUCCUGUUUACUUUAAUGCAAGAUCUAGUUCACAGCUAGUUAUUGUUUGUGCUGCUGGCGUUGCUGACCCCACCAUGUCUGUCUUUGUGGUAAUUAGUGUUGUAGAUGUCCUACUAGGCACCAGGUAUUUAAUGCUAUAGAUCAUUUGCUUCUGAUAUUGCUAUUCUUUGUUUCCCCCUUUUUCUGUGAGGUGUAAGGAACCUACUGGGACAAUACAAGUUAAGAGAGUAGAGAAUGCUGCCGAGCUAAACCCCGCCAAGAGACGACGUAUCUUGCUCUACAAACUAACCAUGCUCAAACAGCAUUGAUAUUUCAAUACAAAGAACAGAAAAAACAAAACCCCAAAAUAAUGACCAGGGUCUAGCAGGGACCCUCAGGUCCCACUCAUGGGCAUCCACAACUACAGCAAAAACAAAGUUUGUGGAUACCACACUUACAAUGGGUCUCAGUCUAGAUCAUUCUUAUAUCACUUUAGAAUAUACAGCUGUUAAAUGAGCAAUCAGAGGGUGUAUACCACACACCCUGAUGUAUAUAACACCAUAGCCAGACCUACAAGAAGGACUGCACUCUUGAGACCUACAAGGAAAGCAGAAUCCUCAACCUCUGACACAAUACACUCUAUCAAAAUGCACUAAUCUUCACCAAAAAACAAGCUGGGAAACUAUACUAUAAAACCUACAUGGAAAUAUAUUGGGGGCUGAGGUUGUGGCUCAGUAGUAGAGCACUUGCCUAGCAUGAGUGAGGCCCUGGGUUCAGUCCCCAGCACCACAUAAAAAUUAACAAAGGUAUUGUAUCCAUCUACAACUAAAAAAAAAUUUUUUUAAAAAAGUAUAUAGAAAAACUCACCACAACUUCAUAUCCCAGAAUACUUUGACAAGAAAAGGCUGUGCCCUAAAAAGACCUGCACAUAAAAAUAGAAAAGAAUCCACCUCAACAGAUUCAUAAAACCUGACACAGGGGUCCACUUCUCUAUCUACCGCGAGGGACGCUGGUGUGGAGGACACUAACUGCCACGGCUUCCAGGGCUUUGGCAAAACCUCAGGUGCGGGGGUCUUCUGGCCAAGCGGCUGUGGUUUCAUAUCGUUGGAGCAUUCACUUUUGCCCUGGAGGUUGUAGCUCUCUAAGUUUGGUGUGGCUGAGUCAAGAAAGGAGGCAUAUGCAGAUUUCUACAGAAAUUAUGAUUCCAUGAAAGAUUUUGAGGAGAUGAGGAGAGGUGGAAUCUUUCAGAGUGCAAAGUGAUUUUGGAAUAAAAAGAAUUUCUUUGGAUUGAGGUCUUUAGAAGUUUGUACUGACUUGUGCUCCUGAACUAUAAAACAUGAAAGGCUGACAAAUAGUCUUUCUUGGACAAUAAACAAUUAACAAAUACUGUAAAAAGCAAAACAAAACCUGACACAGGUUUGCAAGAACUAUGAAAAAAAAAAAAAACAAAAAACAAGGUAACAUGACACCUCCAAAAGCUUAUAAUUCACCAGAAACUGACUCCAAAGAUAUAGAAGUCAAUGAAAUAUUAGACAGAAUUUUAAAUUAUUGUAAAAUUAUCAAGAAACUCUGAAGAACUUGAACAACUGGAUGAAUUAAGGAAAUCAGUAUAGGAUAUGAGUGAGAGAUUCAAUAGGAGAUAGAGAUAUUGAAAAAGAACCAAAACUCUUGAAAAUAAAAUACAAUAAAUCAAAAUGUUCUGUUGAAAGCCUCUUUAGUAGAGUAGACCAUGCUGAGGACAGAAUCUUGAGCUGGAAGACCAAGUAGCCAGCUGCGAACAUCCAGAUAGCAUUAAAGGAAAUGAUUAACCAUGACCAGAAUAUACAAGAACUCUGGGACAACAUUAAAAGCUCAAAUUUAAGAAUCCCUUGAAUCAAAGAACACUGUGAGAUGUAGAUUAAUGGCAUGGAUAAAUUUUUCAGUGAAAUAAGACAAUUUUCCAAACCUUGAAAAUGAGAUGGACAUCAAAACUUGGGAUUCAUUCAGAACCCCAAAUAGACAAGAUUUAAAAAAAAGUCUCUGUGAAUGCUAUAAUUAGAAUGUCUAAUGCACAGAACAAAGAUAGAAUUUUUAAAAACUUCAAGAGAAGAUUUCAUUGUGACCUUUAUGAAGGUCACUUUUAUAAAUAAGCCAAUCAAUAACUCCUGCCUUCUUAGCACAAUCCAGGAGGGCUUGGAAUGCUAUGUUCCAAGCCCCAUAAGAAAAUCAUCAACCAAGAUUACUAUAUCCAGCAUAGCUACCCUUCAGAAUCAAAGAGGAAAUAAUAUCCCUACAAGAUAAACAGAGGGCUGGGGAUGUGGCUCAAGCGGUAGCGCACUCGCCUGGCAUGCGUGUGGCCCGGGUUCGAUCCUCAGCACCACAUACAAACAAAGAUGUUGUGUCCGCCAAAAACUAAAAAAUAAAUAGAUAUUAAAAUUCUCUCUCUCUCCCUGUUUUUUUAAAAAAAGAUAAACAGAAACUAAAAGAAUUAAUGACUGCUAAGCUGGAACUAGAGAAAAAUAUUUAAAUAUAACAAAAAUUUUAAAAAAGAACUCCAGAGACAGCAAAUGUGCAAAUAUCAUUUUGAAGAUCAGAUAAUCAAAUGAGAAACAGAACCACAUUAAACAUUAGAAAUUAAUCAAGCCUGGCAUGGUGGUGCACACCUGUAAUCCCAGUGGCCCAGGAGGCUGAGGCAGGAGAAUCGCGAGUUCAAAGCCAGCCUCAUCAAAAGUGAAGCGUUAAGCAACUCAGUAAGACCCUGUCCCUAAAUAAAAUGCAGAAUAGAGCUGGGGAUGUGACUUGGUAGUCGAGUUCCCCCAAGUUCAAUUCCUAGUAAUAAAAAAAGAGAAUGUAAUAAAAAAUGGUAGGAAUUAAACAUCUCUCUAUAACAACAUUGAAUGUAAAUGGUCUCAAAUCUUCAAUUAAAAGACAUAGGCUGUCAAAAUGGAUUUAAUAUAACACCCAACUAUAUGUUGUUUGCAAGAAACUCACCUUAUAGGCAAAGACAGUCACAGGCAAAAAGUGAAGGAAUGGAAAUUGUUGUAUCAUGUAAAUGGAACCUGAAAACAAGCCGAAGUAGCUACUCUAAUAUCCCACAAAGCAGACUUCAAGCCAAAAAUCAGGCAAAGAAUGUCAGUUCAUGCUGAUAAAGACAUCAAUCCAACAAGUUCUGAUAGUAAAUACUUAUUCCCCAAACAUCAGUGCACCUAAUUACAUAAAACAGACACUACUCAACUUGCAGACUCAGACAGACCCCAGUACAAUAAUACUGGGUGAUUUCAACAUACCUUUCUCACCAAUAGGUCAUCCAGACAAAUUCAGUGAAGACCCUCUAUAACUUAUAAAUCAAAUGAGUGUAGACAUCUAUACACUAUUUCAUCCAACAGCCAAAUUCACUUUUUUCCUCAGCCCUUCAUAAAACCUUCUCCAAAGCAGACCAUGUUUUAGGCCACAAAGCAACUCUUAGCAAAUACCAAUUUUUAAAAUAAUAUAAUUUCUUGCAUCUUAUCUGACUGUAGUGAAAUGAAAUUAGAAAUCAACACUCCUCCCCCACCCAAAAAAAACUUAUAGAAAUUCUAAAGACACAUGGAGAUUGAACAGUACACUUUUGAAUAAUGAAAGGGUGAUAGAGGAAAUUGGGGGAAAUUUUAAAAUUCUUAAAAUUAAAUGAGAAUUGAGAUACAAAAUACCAGAACCUCGGAGUGAGAAAGCGAGUGAGUGAGUGAGAGUGUGUGGGGGAGUAUUUGGCUUGUUGUCCGUGACUUCCCCCUCCCCUCCACCCCUCCCCCUCCCUGUCGCAACUCCCUGGGCCGUAGGAAAGGAGCCAUAACGAUGAUAUCCAGGUGGCGAGCAAUGCUGACAAACAGGCUCAUCAUAAUGCACUGGAACAAAAACACAGGGACCACAUCAAAGACAGCUUUCAUAGUUUGCAGGACUCGGUCCCAUCGCUCCAAGGAGAGAAGGCAUCUGGUGCCCAAAUCCUAGACAAAGCCACAGAGUAUAUCCAGUAUAUGCGAAGGGAAAACCACAUGCACCAGCAAGAUACUGAUGACCUCAAGCGGCAGAAUGCUCUUCUGGAGCAGCAAGUCCGUGCACUGGAGAAGGCGAGGUCGAAUGCCCAACUGCAGACCAGCUACCCCUGCUCAGACAACAGCCUCUACACCAACCCCAAGGGCAGCACCAUCUCUGCCUUCUAUGGGGGCUCUGACUCCUGCUCAGAGUGAGAGCCUGGAGAGCCCCAAAGUAGGAAGAAACUCCAGAUGGAGGCCAGCUAAGCCACACAGGGCGGCCAGCAAUAAGAACUGUCUGUCUCCUCCAUCAUCUCAUCCUCCUCCCAGUUCAUCAUUAGAACCCUCAUAACCAUUUAAAAGACUCUUUAUUUUUCUUUUCUUUUUUUUUUAAUUUUUAUUUUUAUGUAGAAGCUCUUGGACAACAGCUCUUGUUCUCCUUCCCUAUUUACACUUUUUUUUUUUAAAUGUAUUCCCUUCAGGGAUUCCCUGUCCCCACCAGAUGUUUUUAAACCAAAACACCCCAACUUGGCAGCUUUUUCUGUGGAGGACAGACGGCUGGCCCGACCUCUGAGCACAUGGUGUCCUGGCCAGCCCCGGGGGCCUCUCCUCCUGGUCCCCUCCCCUUUGUUUGAUAGACUUUGUGAAUCUGUGAACUGCUCUACUUUGAGAAGAAGACCAGUUUGGAGUAAUCAGAAUUACCACCUCUCCUUCUUAAGGAUUUUUUUUUUCCUAAAAAGCUAUUUAACCCUCGUUGAGAGACCUGACCUUGAAGAAGUUUGUGGUACAAAAGGAAAGUGGGGACAGAUUUGCAGAGUUCUUGGCACGGUUCACUCCCGCUUCUCUCAGCCAGUUGUGUAAGCCUGCAGUGCCAGCCGUACCGAGGGCCGAGUGACACUUGUGGUAUGUACUGGAGAUGGCAGCAGAGAAGCAGCAGCCACCAGGGAGGGGUAGGGGGUGGU
rnacentral:lncRNA from 1 species